UCCUUAGUAGCUCAGUGGUUAGAGCAAACGGCUGUUAACCGUUAGGUCAUUAGUUCAAUUCUAAUUUAAGGAG
rnacentral:tRNA from 1 species